ensembl:lncRNA
GCCACUGGCAGGGGAAGUGGUGGUAGGGGGAGAUAGGCCUCCAAACCUUGAAGGGCCUGAGAUGUCCCCAGAGAGGUGGCGCCUGACACCCAACCUGACAUAUAGACACAGACAUACAGGCACACACAGACACAAACAUCCAUUCCCACCCUCAUGCUCUCAUAUGCACUUACUCCACACUCAACCAACGUGGAGACAGACAUAAAGAGACGCUGUACACACGAUCACACUCCCCAAGCGUACUCUACAAACCGGGUCUAGGUGCCCCCGCCCCUGGAGGGGGGAACUGCACCCAGACCCAGGUGGUGUUACCCUUUUCCCUGCGGUGGGGGGAGGCAGACCGCCCCGACUCUGCAGCAGCAGGAAGGCCCCACACUCCAGACCGCAGUCGGACGGCCAACUCCUCCUCCUAGCCCCCCCGCUCCAGCAGGUCGUAGAGAAUGGGGUGCUGGUUAUGUUUACAGUGAUGCCGGUUUCAACUGCAGUGCUCCUGAAAGCCCCUGAGCUGGAUUUGCACCUGGGCAGUAAUUAGCAGGAUAAUAUCUAUGAGGCAAUACACGAGUCUUCCCAGAAGUCCGUCACAAGACCUGCAAUGAAAACAGUUUAUGCCACUACCAACUUCCCCACAAACCCAGCUUUCUUCAUGCAUGAAUCCAAAGUCAAGGUUUAAAACAUCUCUGGUGAGGCUGACUCUGAUACAGAUUGUAGUCAGUGGAAACCAGGCCAGCAUGAUACGAAGUCUACAGCAAAUCAUCCAUCCAGAGUUUCAAUUGACAAUUUCUACUCCCUGUCGUUGCAAUGCCACUGCGGCACUGAGAAGGGUUAAGUCCUGACUGCUCCUCUAUUUACUGCUUGCUUUCUAGCUAUUAAAAUUUGAUGAUCUGGGAAAUUUCAAACCUUUUCUUGAUGCAUCCAAAAUCUAUAAGAACUUUUCAGCUGUACAGAUCUAGGGCAGUGACCUGGGUGGGAAUGAAUGUGAUUAUUUUGCCAGAUCCUAUGUUAUUUACGUUUAUAUUUUUUUCCUUUAUUUCACUUUUGUAAUCCUUCUCUUCUCUAUUUGUUUAUAUGUAUGAAGGAAAUAUUCUUAAUAAAAAAGCCAUUGUUUAAAAUGAUGAUCUGAAAAAUGUAAGAUGUAAAAAAUAUGCAAAAAAACAUUAAAAGAAUAGAAAGAAAAAUCAGAAAGAUGGCAGAAUACUUGUUCACAGCACUAUAUUAAAAAAUGCAAGCCUAUUAUAGGCCAGAAAAGGGAAGACAUGGUGUGUUUGCCACCCACAGUUACCUGGACAAGCAAGGACAGAGCAGGCAUCUGCCCCCCACUGUUGAUCCAAACCAGCAAAUCUACUGAAAGAUAUUAGGCUACGUUCAAACUGCAGGUCUUGAUGCUCAAUUCCGAUUUUUUGAUCAAAUCCGAUUUUUUUGUCUGCUUGUUCACACUACAAAUAAAAUGCGACAGCAAACGCGCUCUAGUGUGAACGCUCAAAGCGGCCGCAUGCGCAAAAGAAGACGUCACACACAACGCGCUCUGGUUAGACCCAGAGCAAACAAUAUUGUUUGACUGAUGGCCUUAAUAUAAAGACUUCGGACUUUACAUUUCCCAAUUUUUACUUUAAGUUAUUUUGUUAUUUACAUAAUAAUGUAAAUAACCUAAUAAUGAUCCUUAUUUCUGUUUUAGAGGAGCGCUGCUUCAAAGGAUAGCUGCAGAUUUCUGUCAGAAUCUGCAGAUUAUACAGUACAAAGAAAAUGUUCACGUUGUCUUCCCAACAGUUUCACUGACAUCUACACUGGAUGGCCAGGAAGCGUUCGCGGUGUCUUCUCCGGGGCUGAUAAUUAGCGUCUGUCUUGUGUCAGUGACGUAAAAGACGGAUUUAAUGCGACAUGACCGUCAAACAGCAGUCGCUUCCUAAAACAUCGGAUAUGUAUCGUGAUGCGCUUUCGCCUGCAGUGUGAACGUAGCCUUAGUGUCAUGGUUGGCUGUGUGGCAGGCAGGCAGGAAAAAAGGACCCAAACUUGACACUGAGAGAGACAUGAAGAAUAUGACACAAAACAGAGAAGACAGUGACUUAAACUGGAGGCCAGAACACCAAAUAAAGUAAAGAGAACAAAACUAAGAAUAACCCUUAAUACCAAAUCAAACCAGCACAACUCAAAAA